rnacentral:rRNA from 1 species
CCUACGGGAGGCUGCAGUCGAGAAUCAUUCACAAUGGGGGAAACCCUGAUGGUGCGACGCCGCGUGGGGGAAUGAAGGUCUUCGGAUUGUAAACCCCUGUCAUGUGGGAGCAAAUUAAAAAGAUAGUACCACAAGAGGAAGAGACGGCUAACUCUGUGCCAGCAGCCGCGGUAAUACAGAGGUCUCAAGCGUUGUUCGGAAUCACUGGGCGUAAGGCGUGCGUAGGCUGUUUCGUAAGUCGUGUGUGAAAGGCGCGGGCUCAACCCGCGGACGGCACAUGAUACUGCGAGACUAGAGUAAUGGAAGGGGAACCGGAAUUCUCGGUGUAGCAGUGAAAUGCGUAGAUAUCGAGAGGAACACUCGUGGCGAAGGCGGGUUCCUGGACAGUAACUGACGCUGAGGCACGAAGGCCAGGGGAGCGAAAGGGAUUAGAUACCCCUGUAGUC